rnacentral:lncRNA from 1 species
AUAUGGGACUUUCACCAAAAAUCUUUAAAUAUUUUUCUCUUUCAUUUUAUGAAUUAAAAUUAUUUUUUGGAUUAAUUUUGAUAUUUUUCAUAAAUGAAAUUUUUAUGUGCAUAUUUUUAAUUGUUUGAAAAUAUUUCUGACUUUUUAAAAAUUAUGAAUUUUUUUGUCUAAGGUCCUUUGACCUUGUUUGACCUAGGAUAAAUCUCUUGGCCAUUUAUUUGGUGUUUUGACCAAAUUAAUAUGUAUUUUAGUGCAUUUUUAAUUUGAUUUUUAAUUGUUUAAUUGUGUAAAAAUUAUGUUAAGCCAUUUUUAUGGUCUUGUGAUGUUUGACUAUUUGUUUGGGCCUUGGUAAAGUUUGAUUUGACUUUUGUUGGAUUAAAAUCAUCGGAUUUAGGGGAUUGAUGAAAUGUACAUUUCAUCUCCCAAAAUGAAUGAAUGAUUUUAAUUUGAUAAAAUUCCUCCCAUGACCAAUUUGUGUUUCUCUUAUUUCCCUUCCCUCUUCAUUUUUAUUCCCAUUCUUUC